UUUAUGAACUUUGACUUUGUUAUGUUAAAAUGUUGUAAAUAAUUUCCAACACUCAACUUCUUAAAACAUGAGCGGAGUGCCAUCUUCUUAAAGUGGUAGUUUAAUAUUCUCGAUUGAGUCUGUGCACUAUCGCACAUGGCCACAAGCCUUCACUAAAAGUUACUAUAAAAUACCAUGAGCAAACCUGAUUCUAAAAAAUGACUAUUUACCCCAACAGGGGUAGUCGGUAACGUAUGGUGUAUUUUUAUUAAUGAUUUUUAUGUUCAUUUUGAUUUUAAUUAAAACUUUUCUAUUGGUCAAACCUUUAUUUGUUUGUUCUAGAGGGAUUGGAGAAUGUACUUACAAACAUGAUAGAUGUAGAACACUAUAAUAUGAAGAAUUAUAAUCAAAUGUUCACUGUGCCGGAACUUGCAGAAACUCACAACUAUAACCUUCUACAAA